GCAGACACAUUCCAGCCAAUCAGCAGCAGACCCUCCCUCCCAGACCCUCCCAUCUCCUGGACAGCAUCCAUUGUGAAGCUGCAUUCUUAGUGAGCUGUCCAGGAGGUGGGAGGGUCUUGGAGGGAGGGAGGGUUUGCUGCUGAUUGGCUGGAAUGUGUCUG